GAUGAAGAACGCAGCGAAAUGCGAUAAGUAAUGCGAAUUGCAGAAUUCAGUGAGUCAUCGAAUCUUUGAACGCACAUUGCGCCCUGUGGUAUUCCGCAGGGCAUGCCUGUUCGAGCGUCAUUUCAACCCUCAAGCCUCGCUUGGUGUUGGGCCCUGCCCGCCGCGGCCGGCCCUAAAGAUAGUGGCGGCGCCGCCUGGCCCUCAGCGUAGUACAGCUCUCGCUCCAGGGUCCGGCGGCAGCCUGCCAGAACCCCCCAACUCUGUGGUUGACCUCGGAUCAGGUAGGGAUACCCGCUGAACUUAAGCAUAUCAAUAAGCGAGGA
rnacentral:misc_RNA from 1 species